rnacentral:rRNA from 1 species
CUGCUGCCUUCCGUAGGAGUUUGGACCGUGUCUCAGUUCCAAUGUGGGGGACCUUCCUCUCAGAACCCCUACGCAUCGUCGGCUUGGUGGGCCGUUGCCCCACCAACUACCUAAUGCGCCGCAUGCCCAUCCAUGACCGGGGUCGCCCCCUUUGGCCGGCAGGGGAUGUCCCCUCCCGGCAUUAUGUUGUAUUAGGCGGGAUUUCUCCCGGUUAUCCAUCUGUCACGGCCAGGUUGCAUACGUGUUACUCACCCGUGCGCCGGUCGCCCGGG